CUGAGAAUGAUGUCUGCGUUGA
rnacentral:siRNA from 1 species